rnacentral:rRNA from 1 species
CAGUUCGGAUUGCAGGCUGCAACUCGCCUGUAUGAAGUCGGAAUUGCUAGUAAUCGCGGAUCAGCAUGCCGCGGUGAAUACGUUCCCGGGCCUUGUACACACCGCCCGUCACACCAUGAGAGCCGGGAACACCCGAAGUCCGUAGUCUAACCGCAAGGAGGACGCGGCCGAAGGUGGGUUUGGUAAUUGGGGUGAAGUCGUAACAAGGUACC